rnacentral:rRNA from 1 species
UACGUAGGUGGCAAGCGUUGUCCGGAUUUACUGGGCGUAAAGAGCGCGCAGGCGGUCGUUCAAGUCGCGUGUGAAAGCCCCCGGCUCAACUGGGGAGGGUCACGCGAUACUGAUCGACUCGAAGGCAGGAGAGGGUAGUGGAAUUCCCGGUGUAGUGGUGAAAUGCGUAGAUAUCAGGAGGAACACCGGUGGUGCAGACGGCUCUCUGGACCGUAACUGACGCUGAGACACGAAAGCGUGGGUAGCAAACAGG